rnacentral:rRNA from 1 species
UACGUAGGGGGCGAGCGUUGUCCGGAGUUACUGGGCGUAAAGGGCAUGCAGGCGGUCGGACGCGUUUUGUGUGACAGCGGGUGGCUCAACUGCCCGAGCAUACGAAAGACGGUUUGACUUGAGGGCUCGAGAGGGACACGGAAUUCCGGGUGGAGUGGUGAAAUGCGUAGAGAUCCGGAGGAGCACCGAAGGCGAAGGCAGUGUCCUGGCGAGUGACUGACGCUGGGGUGCGAAAGCCAGGGGAGCGAACGGG